rnacentral:rRNA from 1 species
UACGUAGGGUGCAAGCGUUAAUCGGAAUUACUGGGCGUAAAGCGUGCGCGGGCGGUUGUGCAAGACAGAUGUGAAAUCCCCGGGCUCAACCCUGGGAACUGCAUUUGUGACUGCACAGCUUGAGUGCGGCAGAGGGGGAUGGAAUUCCGCGUGUAGCAGUGAAAUGCGUAGAUAUGCGGAGGAACACCGAUGGCGAAGGCAAUCCCCUGGGCCUGCACUGACGCUCAUGCACGAAAGCGUGGGGAGCAAACA